rnacentral:tRNA from 1 species
GGGGUUGUGACUCAAUGGUAGAGCACUUGCCUAGCAUGCAUGAGGCACUGGGUUCAAUGCUCAGGACCACA